rnacentral:sRNA from 1 species
AGGGAGGUCACGGCGUAAAGGUGCAGCUGCCGCCACCGCCGCUUCUGCAAGGUCUCAGGGACGGGCUGCAGCCAUGUCCUAUUGCCGGCAGGAAGGCUUUGCCCAGGAUGGUUCCUUCUGGAAUGUCUAUUCCCCUCCUUCCCUCCCUGAAGCUCUUUGUCAGGGACAAAGGUAGGAUCCCUCCCCUUCCGUCUUCUCCACUGGAUGCCUGUGUCGUAUUCAUCUGUGACCACCAGGUACUACCACAGAGCUGGAGCUGAGGAAGAUCCUGUGGUCUCUGUAAAAUGGAGAUAAAGUAAUACCCACCAGUGAACUCACAGAUGUAAUAAAACACAUUGCAUGGGACAAAAAUGUGUAAAAGAUACAGCUGUUACUGUUCUACUUUCGAUCCAGUGUGAACUGUGCUACAAGGGAAAAUGUCCAGGAAGGCACAUGGAAGGAUCGAAUCAUAUUUGUAACCAAAGAAGAUCAUGAAACUCCAAGCAGUGCAGAAUUGGUGGCUGAUGACCCCAACGAUCCAUACGAGGAGCAUGGAUUGAUACUGCCAAAUGGAAACAUUAACUGGAACUGCCCAUGCCUUGGGG